GAUGAACGCUGGCGGCGUGCCUAAUACAUGCCAGUCGAGCGAACAGACGAGGAGCUUGCUCCUCUGACGUUAGCGGCGGACGGGUGAGUAACACGUGGAUAACCUACCUAUAAGACUGGGAUAACUUCGGGAAACCGGAGCUAAUACCGGAUAAUAUAUUGAACCGCAUGGUUCAAUAGUGAAAGACGGUUUUGCUGUCACUUAUAGAUGGAUCCGCGCCGCAUUAGCUAGUUGGUAAGGUAACGGCUUACCAAGGCAACGAUGCGUAGCCGACCUGAGAGGGUGAUCGGCCACACUGGAACUGAGACACGGUCCAGACUCCUACGGGAGGCAGCAGUAGGGAAUCUUCCGCAAUGGGCGAAAGCCUGACGGAGCAACGCCGCGUGAGUGAUGAAGGUCUUCGGAUCGUAAAAUUCUGUUAUUAGGGAAGAACAAAUGUGUAAGUAACUAUGCACGUCUUGACGGUACCUAAUCAGAAAGCCACGGCUAACUACGUG
rnacentral:rRNA from 1 species